UACGGAGGGUGCAAGCGUUAUCCGGAUUCACUGGGCUUAAAGGGUGCGUAGGCGGCCACUUAAGUCCGUGGUGAAAUCUCUGGGCUUAACCCAGAAACUGCCAUGGAUACUAUUUGUCUUGAAUGUUGUGGAGGUUAGCGGAAUAUGUCAUGUAGCGGUGAAAUGCAUAGAUAUGACAUAGAACACCAAUUGCGAAGGCAGCUGGCUGCACAAAUAUUGACGCUGAGGCACGAAAGCGUGGGGAUCAAACAGG
rnacentral:rRNA from 1 species